rnacentral:rRNA from 1 species
CCUACGGGAGGCAGCAGUGGGGAAUAUUGGACAAUGGGCGAAAGCCUGAUCCAGCCAUGCCGCGUGUGUGAAGAAGGUCUUCGGAUUGUAAAGCACUUUAAGUUGGGAGGAAGGGCAGUUACCUAAUACGUGAUUGUGCUUGACGUUACCGACAGAAUAAGCCCCGNAU